rnacentral:rRNA from 2 species
GUCUGGUGCCAGCAGCCGCGGUAAUUCCAGCUCCAAUAGCGUAUAUUAAAGUUGUUGCAGUUAAAAAGCUCGUAGUUGAAUUUUGGACCUGGCUGGGUGGUCUUGCCGAAAGGUGAGCACUGCUCCGGUCGGGUCUUUCCUUCUGGGGAACCAGUGUGCUCUUAAUUGGGUGCGCUGGGGAUCCAGGACUUUUAUUUUGAAAAAAUUAGAGUGUUUAAAGCAGGCCUACGCUUGAAUACAUUAGCAUGGAAUAAUAGAAUAGGACUUUGGUUCUAUUUUGUUGGUUUCUAGGACCGAAGUAAUGAUUAAUAGAGAUAGUUGGGGGCAUUAGUAUUUAAUUGUCAGAGGUGAAAUUCUUAGAUUUAUGAAAGACUAACUUCUGCGAAAGCAUUUGCCAAGGAUGUUUUCAUUAAUCAAGAACGAAAGUUAGGGGAUCGAAGACGAUCAGAUACCGUCGUAGUCUUAACCAUAAACUAUGCCGACUAGGGAUCGGACGACGUUAAUAUAGUGACUCGUUCGGCGCCUUUACGGGAAA